UGAUUUUGAGUAGUUUCUCUUUAAAUUUAUUUUUUUAAUUAAUUGUGAUAAUUAUAUUUUAGGUUUAAUUAGUGUUUUUUUUGGUUAAUUCGGUUCUAGAAAUGAAAGCAAAGAAUUGAUAAAAAUUAGAAAAAAGAAUUGAAAAAGAAAAGAAAACAAGAGAAGAGAUUCAGUUGGUCCCAAACCAGUUUAUUUACCCGUAGCACAAUUCAUUCCCUCCCCUUUCUAGACCCGUUAAACCAUGGCCCAAACCCGCCCGGACGUGGUCUUUCUCCUCUCACUAAAUCAAAUGACCUCGUUUGGGGUCCUGUUUCUGUGAGUCAUCCGAUCCAUGGAAAUCAACAUAUGGGAUCUAGGGGUAGGGACAGUGUAUGACUGUCUGAACUCCACUACCCCCACCCGCCAUAUCGUUUCCCUCACUUCCCCUCUCUCUGAGACGCUCUCCGAAACCCUAGCCCACCGCGCCCUUUUCCUACCGCUUUAGGGUGGCGGUGCCGGUCCCAAUCCCCACCAAAAUCACAAAUAUUGACCACCAUGACCCCUUCUUCCCUAGUCCAUAAUCAAUUACCCUUGAAUUUUAAUGGAACUCCUUGAAUCUUGAAUCACAACUUGAACCCCAAAAUUCCAGUCUUCCCAAUUGAAGUUUUCGGUGUAGUUUUAGGUUCAUUCUGAGGGUAUUUUUGUUUUCAUUUGGAAAUGAAUGCUUAAUCUUAUAUUGAGCUAAGAUUUGAGAGUUUGAAGAUUCCUCACUAUAUUCUGUCCGAUGCUUUUCUUUAGGUAUGUUUCUUUGUAUUUUGUUUUUUAGUUUCUUUUCUCUCCCACCGUUAUUUCUACUAUUUUCCACUUUCAGUCCAUUCUGUCGAAAUCAUCUCUCAUGUUUCUUCACCGUUCAGUGUGUGAAUUGAUUAUUUUUUUCCCCUUUUAUUUUAUUUGGAUUCGUCGUUUAAGUUUUGUUCAAUUUGCGCUAUAUUGUGAUCAUUAGGUCCAAAGGUUUCAAGGCCCACUGGACCCUUUGCCCGUCUAGUUGAUUGCCCAUAUAAAAGUUUGAAUUGGAUUUUCGGGGCCAAAGGGAGGGGGAAUUAGCCUAUGUUUCAAAGGAAUUCACUAGGUCGGCUUGAACCAUGUAGUUUUUUGAAGGUAAUUUUCAAAGUCUUAGAGGGUAAUUGGGGAAUUUGGUAUGGAGAAUCUUGUUAUAACUGAUUAGGAAGCUUCAUAGAAGCUGACUUUGGGAUUGUUUUGAAACUCUGAAAAACUAAACAGGGAUAUCUAGGAAAAAAUAAAAAUAUGGAAAGAGCUAAAAUGAAAAUGUGAUUUCUCUAUUGUUUCCCUAUUGCCUUGCCUAUAAAGGCAUCUCAUUCUUGCCUUUCAAUGAAGGGGGCAGAGAAAAAAAUUUGGAAAAUACCAACGGUUGGACUUUUACUAUUUUAUUAGUUUCUUCAUUGGUAUUUUAUUUCUUUUCAACUUGUGAAAUCAUUUUAAACCAUCUGAAUUGGAAAUGGAUUGAGCUUCGUGUCAACAGCUUGGUUCAAAGUUUUGCUAGGCUGUUGGUUGGUCAAAAUCUAUUAUUUGGAGUUGCUAUACAUCAUUUCUAGAUUUGAAAUUAUUUUAUAUGGUUGUUUUUUCUGUUGAUUCCUGUUGUUUAUUUGCUGAUUGCUCACCCAUCUUUUCUUUCAAAAUUUCCAUGUACCUUCUUAGCUUAUAAUUGAUGAAUGAUUGUUGAACAUGUAAUAUGACUAAAGUUCUAUUAAAUGAAGAUUGCAUUCGAAGCUGAUUUCUCUUUGUUUUUUACUGUUUCCAUAUUCAGUAAUUAGAAUUUGAACUAUAGAUGUUAAUUAGGUUCUCUUUUUUCUUGAAUUGUGUGUGUGAGAGUGACCUGUUGUAGUAUUUUGUAUUUGUAUAAACUAUGGACUGGGAUUGAUAUGUUAAGUGGCUGAAACUGUUUUAUUUUUUGAUUCCAUGAUCAUGAGUUUAGAAGCAUGUGAAUGUAGAUCAUAAAUCUAUUAGAUUUGAUUUUAUUGAUGUCCCAGUAAUCAUGCUAAGAAUUUCCUCUAUAUAGCUUGAAACUUUAUUUAUGUCCUUUACUUGUGAAUACUCUGAGAUUUUAUUUUCUUUCAAAAUAGUUGAGUUUCAAAUGGAAGUUUGGUAUGGUUUUGGUUUUUGAAAUCUCCCAUAAGUUCGCUUGAAUCACAUAAUUUUGUUCAAGUGUGUUAUGUCACACCUCCUUUUGGCCACAAUCGAAAUAUGAUUCAAUUAUUUAAUAGGAUUUUAGAAUCACCACUUGGGAGAUUUAUGGUGUCCCAAGUCACAGUUUUGAAUCACGAAUCAAGGAAAGAAUGACUAUGUUUAACAGUCCGUGAACCAGAAAUUCAAGUAUGGAAUUCUGUUAACUGGGAGAAGGUGUUAGACACUCACGAGUUCCGUGGUUCUAGCACGGUCGCUCAAAUAUUAUAUUUGGCUCAAAUUAUCAGAUUUUUACAAUUAU
rnacentral:lncRNA from 1 species